UAUAUAAAAUAUAAACUCACUCGUAUAUGCUCAGAAAUAUGGUCUGAGAGUCUCUACCAAGAUACCGUAAAUAUCUUGACUAUGAGUGAAAUUAUUAUACCA
rfam:Clostridium difficile 630 complete genome